rnacentral:rRNA from 1 species
AUUGAACGCUGGCGGUAUGCUUAACACAUGCAAGUCGAACGGAAACGAUAAGAAGUUUACUUCUUAGGCGUCGAGUGGCGGACGGGUGAGUAAUGCAUGGGAACUUGCCUAUUAGUGGGGGAUAAGCUAGAGAAAUUUAGUCUAAUACCGCAUAAUCUCUACGGAGGAAAGCGGGGGAUCUUUUGACCUCGUGCUGAUAGAUAGGCCCAUGUCGGAUUAGCUAGUUGGUAAGGUAAUGGCUUACCAAGGCGACGAUCCGUAGCUGGUUUGAGAGGAUGAUCAGCCACACUGGGACUGAGACACGGCCCAGACUCCUACGGGAGGCAGCAGUGGGGAAUAUUGGACAAUGGGCGCAAGCCUGAUCCAGCAAUACCGCGUGUGUGAAGAAGGCCUCGGUUGUAAG